UUGUGGGUUUGGCCGACUGACGACUGGAGUGCCCUCCUCGGCUGUCUUAGUUGUAGCCGGAGGUCAUGUAAAUCGACCUUAAAAGAAUGCAUAAGCCAUAAAUUAAAAUAAACCUUCACCCAAGGGCUGAUCCAUAAGUAGACAAUAUCCAACCUGGACAAAACGAGCUUUCCUUACGAGCCGACCUAAACCGCAUCCCCCCAAAGAAUAGAGACUAAAUGCAAAGCAUUUAAUGUUGGUGAGGCAAGGACAGAGGUCAGCAACAACCCCUUCUGUUUCCAAGUUUGCAGGUCACUUUCAUGAAUUCAAAGGCAAUUUACCAGUGAUUUUGGGUGCUGGGGCUGAUUUUUUUUGGCGUAUUUACAUUCUAUAUCUUCUGAUGAGGAAAGGAAAAUGCUUCAAGAAGGACUUUGUGACCUCUCAUCACUUUGUAUAAGAGCCCAGGGCAUGAACUGAAACCGAGCAGCCGACAAUAUUAAUAAUUCAGCAUUUGGCAGUGUUGUGGAUAUUAACGCAUUUGUAGUUCACCUUGACAAACCUUGGCCCAAUCACAUUCAAAAAUGAAUUUAGUCGUCUCAUUUUAGUCUCUGAUCUUUACCAAUAUUUUUAGCUUGGCAAUAUAACUCUAAUUGUAUAUAUGAUUCACAACUAGUGCCCGACAUAGGAAAGGCCAAACAUAUACUUUCAGAAGAAAUGUUGAAAAUUUGACAUCUACUUUGUAUCUUCUUGGGAGUAAGACAUGUCUAAUGUCACUGUAUGAACAUUAAAGAGAAAACCGAAUAUUCCACAGUGAAAUUGGUAUUGACUCAGGUUGGUGUUUUAUGUGUAUAUCUUUGUAUGAAAACUAAUUAAAGAUAAUUUGGAUUUGCAAAAUAUAUAAAAGCAAGCAAUUAAAAAACACUGAAGAAGUAAUUCUUGCAGUUUCAUCAGCUGUGCGUCUAAGUUCUCAGUUAAUAACAACUAAGCUUCAACUGUGAUGAUUACUUUAAAAAAGGAAGUAGAAGGUCCAGAGAUUGGAAGAACACCUCUGGUGAAAAUCUUGAAGAUAUUGUGACAUAUUUAGGAGUUUGGACUAUCCAUUAGGGCAAAGGAGGGAAAAUAAUGAGUAGAUGUGUUUGUUAAUAAAAAAAAAAACCCUCAUAUGCUAUUGUUAACAUUUUCAGAGUGGAAAAGAGCACAAAUAUUGCCUCUCAGAUAUUUCACGUUUUGAUACUUUUGCA